UAGCUCUCUCCUGGUGCUCCCAGUGCUCUUUUAGUGUUUCUUUCUCUGGCUCUACUUCUUCUCCCCAACUCCUCUUUGUUGGUGUCCCCCAAGGUUCAGUCUUUGGUCCCCUACUGUUCUCCAUCUAUACUGCCUCCCUUGGUAAACUCAUUAGCUCCUUUGACUAUCAUUUCUAUGCGGAUGACACGCAAAUCUAUCUGUGCUCUCCUGAUCUCUCCCACUCUUGCCUAGUGUCUCUGACUGCCUCUCUGCUAUUUCUAACUGGAUGGCUGCCCACUUCCUUAAACUCAACUUGACCAAAACUGAAAUUCUGGCCUUUCUUCCCUCAAGUGUUGCUACUCUUGUGUCUGUCUCCCUCCAAGUCAACGUUGCUAUCAUCAGCUUCACCGCACAGACUCGCUGCCUAGGUGUUCUCGUUGACUCAGACCUCUCCACCUCUCAUCUUCAGUCUAUCGCCAAAUCCUGACGCUUCCAUCUCAAAAACAUUGCGCAUAUCCGACCCUACUUAACUCCAGAUGCGACUAAGGUGCAGGUCCAUUCCACUGUCCUUUCUCGCCUUGACUACUAUAAUCUGCUUCUCAGUGGUCUUACUUGCAC